AGGAAAAGAGACAUGAUCGAUUAUAAUGAAUAUGAAAUCCCCUUCGUAUUUAUCCAACUGAUAAUAUAGAUUAGAUGCUUAAAGACUUAUCAGUUUUCUGGUUUUGAAUUCUGUGUCAAACAGCAAGCUAAGCAUGCUUCAUGAAGUCAAGAGACUUGGAAAUCAUCAAAUUUGAAGAAAUUAACAAAACUGAAAGGCCUGGAAAGCUAGAAGCCUCAUCUAACUAAACUGAAAACAGACUCUUUUAGGGCCUACUUUCUUAAACAACAGAAAUUGAAGGGAAACAAAAACAUAUGUUGUAGGAGUGAGUUGUAAUUGGAGGCUCAAUCAGUAAGGAAUCUCUUCUGCGUUGCAGAGUCUAACUGGUUUAAGUUAUGAAAAACUUUAGAACAGCAACAAGAACUAGUUUUCAUCAUUAUUUAUAAAAUUUAUUAUAUCAAGACAUAUGUGCCUUGAAGCAUCUAACAAGAAUUACAGAUAUUGGUGAUU